AAAAAGAUAAGCUAAGUAAAGCUAGUGGGCUCAUACCUCAUUUAUAAAGGUAUAUACCCCUUUUCUUUUUA
rnacentral:tRNA from 1 species